UGCAACAAACCACCAUGGCACAUGUGUUACCUAUGUAACAGACCUGCACAUGUAUCCAAGAACUUAAAAAUUUAAAAAUGAACAAUAGGGAGUAUAGUUUGGUAAGACAAUGUGAUAAUUUUACAAACACAAAACAUGUCAUACCCACUUCCCCACCUCCCUCAAGUGCUUUCAACAGCAUCCUAUUGCUGUUAAGAGAAUAAAGCAUCUACCAUCAUUUCCUAGCUCGCCCGCCUUCAUUCUUGUCUUGUGCCACUUUCUCCCAUGCUUACUUCCUUGCACGUGCCUGUUUCCUGCUGCAAGAGGCAUUCUGCACGCACCCCCAUCUCUGUUUAGACCGUGGUGUCCCUACACUCCACCCCCCCUCAACAAUCAACCUCUACUUCUCUCCAGACUGCAAGGGGAUCAUACCUUCCAGAAUGCAUCGGUUUUCUACCUCUCAUCCCAAGAUACGCCAGAUUCUUUUACAGCAUAAAUUUAGAGAACCCCACUUCCCUUUCUUUGGUGCGCUUUCCUCAGUUCUUCAUCACAAACCCAUUAGAAUGAAUGUCAUAUUAGUGCCCAUUCUCCCCAUCAGGCCGCAGGUUCGUGAGAGCAGGGGCCACGGUCAUGUUGGUGAACCAUGGUAUUCUCAGUGACUAUCCAUGUGCUUAGAAAGUAUUUGCUGAAUGAGUAAAUGGGUCUGCAGUUCCAACCAAAGCUAGAAGCUUGACUUUGGAAGAAUGAAAGUGGAUAACAUCUCCAAAGCAGACCCCAUAGCAUGAGAAAAGAAGGGAAGAACGGAGGCAGAGCUGAAGGAUGAAUAUCGGCACAGGAGUAGGACAGAGGUGGUGCAUUGGACACACUACUAACCAGCAUACUCUCUCGGACGUGCAAGAAAAUGUAGAGAAAACAAUCUAGAAAUGGUAUCUCAGAAGAAAAAAAAAAUCAAAAA